rnacentral:rRNA from 1 species
AGAACGAACGCUGGCGGCAUGCCUAAUACAUGCAAGUCGAACGAACACUUCGGUGUUAGUGGCGCACGGGUGCGUAACGCGUGGGAAUCUGCCCUUGGGUUCGGAAUAACAGUUGGAAACGACUGCUAAUACCGGAUGAUGACGAAAGUCCAAAGAUUUAUCGCCCAGGGAUGAGCCCGCGUAGGAUUAGCUAGUUGGUGAGGUAAAGGCUCACCAAGGCGACGAUCCUUAGCUGGUCUGAGAGGAUGAUCAGCCACACUGGGACUGAGACACGGCCCAGACUCCUACGGGAGGCAGCAGUAGGGAAUAUUGGACAAUGGGCGCAAGCCUGAUCCAGCAAUGCCGCGUGAGUGAUGAAGGCCUUAGGGUUGUAAAGCUCUUUUACCCGAGAUGAUAAUGACAGUAGUCGGAGAAUAAGCCCCGGCUAACUCCGCGCCAGCAGCCGC